ensembl:lncRNA
CUAACUCUCAGGAAGCCAGACUUCCGGCCCCUCCCCCAGCCCUGGGAGCAGCCGGAGCCCUGUGGGUGCAGUCAGAUCGCGAUGGGAACCAGCCAUCACAUCUCUGUCUCUUUCCCCCGAUACAGACAGUCCCGCAGGCCUGCUGACAGGAAAGCUGCGGAACCAAGGGAAGCAGCUUCUGACUGGAAAAGUGAAAGGAGCCAAAAGCCAAAAGGCUCAGAUUACUUGUAGGGGCUGGUCUGGGAGGCCCUCGUCCAAGCUCUCAGCUCAGAGGAGAUGACAAAGAGACUGAAGACAAGGAAGGUGAAAUCGAACCUGUCCUGGCAGUUGCUGAUCCAGUCGCCACCGCAAGGAGGAAGUCACUGCUGCGUGUGCUUCUGAAACUUCCAGCCAAGACCCAGAAUCGCAGAGUGGGGCCACAGCUUCUAGGCCAGCCAACAGGCAGCUGGGAACCAUGGGCUUCAGCAGGCUGCCCUGGAGUGGGAGGCAGGGCCCCUGCACCUCAAGGCUGCCGGCAGCACCUGGAGGACGAAAGACAUUGAUGGGAUUUGCAAGGCCUGGGGACCUUUUAAUUCACAAGGAGGACCAACAGAAGCAGGAAGAGCACUGACCAGCAUGGCCCAGUGCCCCCAACCUGUUCCUGACUGUACCUUGGGCUCUAAGCCUUCCUGGUCCUCCACAGAGUGUGCAUGGAAGGUGUGGAGAGGCCACGACACAGUCCACAUCUCAGGACAUAACCAGUGG